GCCCGUCUGGCUGCAGGUGCCGCGGGCUCUGUGAGCAGCAGCGGCGGCGGCGGGGUCGGCUCUGGGCUGGAGCUGCCCUGCCCGACCCGCACCGCUGCCCUGCUGGGGCUGCGGGGACAGGCAGGGGCAACCCCGGGACAGGCUGCCGUGGGAACAGCUCAGGAGCCCCGCCGGGAUCAUCUGUCACCGGGAAGCCGGUGAGAGCAGUGAGAUGCUCCUGAGCGGGUGCGCUGGAAGAGGACCAGGCUCUUGCAGAGGAGCGCAGGGCGUGGAACACCCCGGGCGCUCCUUUGGCCGCAGAAGUUCAGCAAAGCAGCUUGACUGCAUGGGAGUCAGCGCUUGGCUGCGUGGCAAUAUUCGCGGGCUGCAGAGCUGGGAGCUCUGGAACAAACGCGAGCAGCGCGGGAAUUACGUGGUGCAGAAAAGCACCGCGUUUCAAACCCGCGUCACAAAGGGGCCUCGUCUGACAGCGCUGCCUUUCCCCGGCCCAUUGUCUCAUUGCAGCAAGUUUGUUUUGCCCCAGCAGUAGUGACUGAUUCACUCGGUGACACUGUUCCAGAGGAUUCAGCCGCUUAACCCUUUUUGAGUGCCACAUACAUAGAGCCAGCUGGGCAUCUAAAUUGAGAAAGCUAUAGCUCUGCCAGCAGCUGAGGGACAGAUGCAGGUCCCAGACCACAGCAAAAUCUCCAGCCUUUGGAUAUGAAGGCCAACAAGACCUGGAUCAGCUGGAUCCUUGUGAUGAGACCGCAGCACAACAAGUAUGCAAGGAUGCACCUUUGGGCUUCCAGUCAGUAAAGCUUGGUUUAAUUAAAAUAGAUAACAAUAGCCCCCAAAAUAAAUCUGUCCUUAGUAAGUAUGU